UAGAAGUACUGUGUGUGAGGACCAGCAUGCGAAGAGCUAGAACCCUGCUCUGAACUUCUCAGCCUCUAGACCAUGCCGAGGCUGAUAGGAUGAAGCAAGCCAUGAGAGUUUAUUUUCCAUCACACACCAUUGUGCGGCUGAGCAAAUAUUUUAGCAAGCUUUGAAUGAACUACCUUUUCAAGUUCAAGGUUUUCAGAGUUAAAAUAGGAAGCCAUGACAAGCCUCAUAUUAGAUUUUAAAUCAACGUUGGGCCACCCUACUUAGGGAACAACUAUAGACAUCAUGGAAAAUCAGGUUUUGGGGAUGAGAAAAUCAGGUUGUGGGAGCCUUGUUCUGCCAACUUCAUCCUUCUUUGCUUGGCCUUGUGAAUGGAAGCAGUGUUCUUAAAGAAUUUCUAGAGGACAGGAAGCAUUAGCCUCUGGGCACCUAGCACUUUACAGUCAAUCUACCCAGUCCUGGCACUGGCCAGAGGAGAUGUAGCCAUGAGUGCUCCCGCAUCUACCGGCCUUCCCCACCUUCACCGGACUUGACAAAGGGUGUACAUGGCAAACUCUCAGCAAGUGUGGCCCACCUUGGAGGCAACUGAAACACUUGAUCCCAGAGAGAAUGAAAAAUUGAGAGAGACAAAUGAAAGAAAUCCCCCAAAAGCAAACUUCAAAAUGUUACAUUAAGAUUUUAAAACUUCUUAAUAAUGUUUUACCUUAGUUUGAUUCCA